GCGGCGCGCCUAACACAUGCAAGUCGAGCGAGAAAGGGAGCAAUCCCCGGUACAGCGGCGCACGGGUGAGUAACACGUAGGUAACCAACUCCGAGUGGUGGAUAACCUUCCGAAAGGAGGGCUAAUACAGCAUGAGCCCACGGCUGCGAGAGCAGCAGGGGGAAAAGUCGGCCAAUCCACGGAAGCUGACGCUUGGAGACGGGCCUGCGGCCCAUCAGCUAGUUGGUGAGGUAAUGGCUCACCAAGGCAAAGACGGGUAGCUGGUCUGAGAGGAUGAUCAGCCACACUGGAACUGAGACACGGUCCAGACUCCUACGGGAGGCAGCAGUGGGGAAUCUUGCGCAAUGGGCGAAAGCCUGACGCAGCGACGCCGCGUGGGUGAUGAAGGCCUUCGGGUUGUAAAGCCCUGUGGAGGGGGACGAAUAAGUGUUGGCUAAUAUCCAGCAUGAUGACGGUACCCCUUUAGCAAGCACCGGCUAACUCUGUGCCAGCAGCCGCGGUAA
rnacentral:rRNA from 1 species